CAUCAGAAGGCAUCACACGCCUGGCUGCGCUGAGCAGGAGGAACGUAAGGCCUACAACUUUCCUCUUCAUAGGUGUCCCCGGUGCACGUAGUGGAGAGCCUCAGUUGACAUCGAACACACCCCCUAAGCGGGAGGACAACUGAAUGGAAAGGCUGUUCACGAAGCUGGAUCAUCCUGGUCACGCGGCUUCUUCGCCAGGACUGAGUAAAUCCAUCACUGGGAUAAUUCCACUCCUCCCUGAUUGACUUCUGGUGAGGCAGUUUGUCUGGCAACCAUGUGUCUUCACUUACAACCGACGGCCCUUCCCACGGGAAGGCAGCUGGCAGGGCGCGCCCGCAACCAGUGCGAACUUAACCUCACACACCAGGUUAUCGCUGCAAAGGAGCGGACAGAUCGCUGCUGUUUUCCGCCGCCUCCCUUGCCUGGAGUUUUGUUCACCACACCCCUCGGUUCCGGAGCUGAUCUCUGUAACCACUGCCUGCGCCUAGAGGGCAGUAGCGACAGCCCAGUUCCAGACGGAGCGGGGGCGCAGAAGCACACCGCGGGCGGCGGCGUAGAAACCGAAGAAAAUCCAUCUCAGUUCUGAAAAGAACGAGCCAAAAAGCCACUUUUCCAACUCGGAUCCCGAAGGUCAGUUUCAUCCCAAAGAGGACAGCUUUCCACUUUACCGCCAAUCAAGUUCUUCUUAGAGAAGGAGGCAAAGACAGCUGUCCUCGAUGCUGGGUAUCAGAAGACAUUGAGAGAUCUAGUGGUUUCUUGACUCAUGGACAUUUUCUGGUGGCCCAUGUCCCAGAACCAGAGCCUACGAGGAAGAUCAGCUUCUGAGAAUAAAGAAAAUCUGAUGAGACGCUUCCCUGAUCAGAAGCUCCCCUUCACCGCCAGGAUAAACUCCAACCCUUUUAUGAUGGUGAAGACAGUUCUUCCUAGUCCACCCCCUGCUUACCCCUUAUCUCUCAACACCCCUUACGUCUGCCCCCAGCGAAGCCUCAGCCCUACAGCAGCAGGGUCUGUCUGUGUCUCGGUGGGCCCAGGGGAUCCCCUCACCGUGAAACACCCCCUCCCCACCCUGCCCCUUUACCCUCACCUGGCUGACUGAGUCUUCAUGCUUCUGUCUCAACUAAGAUGUCAUUUCCUCCUAAGACGGUUCCCCCACCCCGCCAACCCCCGCAUGCACGGGUGACAUCCUUCUGUAUUCCCACCAAAGAGCUCAGUGGGGUUCACACUGUGUUCCAAUGGCCAUCGACUCACCCGUCUGUCUCUCUGAUCUUAAAUCCUUGAGAGCAAAGACUGUAUUACUUACGUUCACCACAUCCCCGACACCCAGCCAUAGGAUCUGGGACUUUAGAAAAUGCUUGAUAAAUUGUGAUUGAAUGUUA